CUCUAACUGACGAGUCCCAAAUAGGACGAAACGCGCGUCCUGGAU
rnacentral:hammerhead_ribozyme from 1 species